rnacentral:misc_RNA from 1 species
GAUGAAGAACGUAGCGAAAUGCGUUACGUAAUGUGAAUUGCAGAUUUCAGUGAAUCAUCGAAUCUUUGAACGCACAUUGCGCCCGCUAGUAUUCUGGCGGGCAUGCCUGUUCGAGCGUCAUUUCAACCAUCAAGCCCUAGGCUUGCGUUGGAGCCCUGCGGCUGCCGCAGGCUCCCAAAUCCAGUGGCGGGCUCGUCGUCGUACCGAGUGCAGUAAACAUCCUCGCUCAGGGAACGUGACGGGUUCUUGCCGUGAAACCCCCCACAUAUCAAGGUUGACCUCGGAUCAGGUAGGAAUACCCGCUGAACUUAAGCAUAUCAAUAAGCGGAGGA